rnacentral:rRNA from 1 species
CGAAGAACCUUACCAGGCCUGACAUGCAGAGAACUUUCCAGAGAUGGAUUGGUGCCUUCGGGAACUCUGACACAGGUGCUGCAGGGCUGUCGUCAGCUCGUGUCGUGAGAUGUUGGGUUAAGUCCCGCAACGAGCGCAACCCUUGCCUUUAGUUGCCAGCAGUUCGGCUGGGCACUCUAAAGGGACUGCCGGUGUUAAACCGGAGGAAGGUGGGGAUGACGUCAAGUCCUCAUGGCCUUUAUGACCAGGGCUACACACGUACUACAAUGGCCGAUACAAAGGGCAGCGACACUGCGAGGUGAAGCCAAUCCCGUAAAAUCGGUCUCAGUCCGGAUUGGAGUCUGCAACUCGACUCCAUGAAGUUGGAAUCGCUAGUAAUCGUGGAUCAGCAUGCCACGGUGAAUACGUUCCCGGGCCUU